rnacentral:tRNA from 1 species
GCUCCCGUAGCUCAAAUGGAUAGAGCAACGCCCUCCUAAGGCGUAGGUUACUGGUUCGAGUCCAGUCGGGGGCA